UCCCUAAUCGUGGCCCCUUGGACAAAUGGCAGGCUCUGCACUCAUGAGAACCUCAGCACUGCCCUUCCCCAUUCAUGCCCACCAAUAAAUGCUGCUUCCUGUUUCUUAUACACUCUGAC